GUUGCACCACGGUGCCCACGUGACGGGAACCUCACUCUUCAAUGAGCGCUCAGCAACCAGCUCUUCUUGGAGAGAGGAGCUGCGAUUUCUCCUCUUGCAAGAGUCCAAGAUAUCAGCAAGUCCAAGAAUGAUGUACCAGUACAGCCCAACUUGAAUAUAUUCCCAACCAUUUUGAUGGGGGGCAGAAGACGGAGCUUCAGGCCAAACUGUUUCCAAAGAGCCUGUCCACCCUCAGUGUCCUUCGGGACAGCAGCUGGAGGGACGGCUGCUACUGAUGGAUGGAUGGACUGGUGGACACCCCGCUGGCUCGGGUAACUCGCCACACCUCAACAUAAAGCUUUUCCUUGGGGACGUUUUGAAUGGGUUUGACCAAAAAGUAACUGUAACCUUAAAUCUGCUUCAGUCCUGCAUACAAGAGUUCUCCAAAAGGGCCACAAGUGAACUGACCUCUCAUGUCAUCCAUUGAAUUCUAUGCAGAAUUUUUUUCGGGGAAGGCGGGAUGUCUUUUCUUUUUUUUUCUGGAUUUGAGUGGAUGCAGAUCAGGUCUAAUUUUACCGACAGCUUGAUGCUCCUGAGUUUGGUCCGUGCCAAGGGGGGAGUUGUUCCCUGUUGCUCUUGUGCAAUAAACCACUGGCUGUAGGGUACCAGUAGUACUAACCUGCUAAAGAGGCCUGCCACUUUUUAUAUAAAUAAAGAGCCUCACAAUACUGUAUGUAUUUAUAUAUUAAUUUUAAAUUACAUUUUUUUUAACUAAUCAGGUGUUUUCCCUCUGGCAACAAGCGCCAAAGAUGCUGCUAAAAUGAAUCCGUCCCUGUUGGUUUGGGCACAUUUGGUCUCAUUUUUACAAGGUCGACUGUAUGUAUGUGUGUGCAAAGCUUACUAUUAAAUGGCUAUUUAUAUAAAUAUAUAUUGAUGCAAUAUUAUUGAAUUUGAAAUGUGAGCAAAAGGAAAAAGUGUGAAUGUGUUUACAAACUAGUCUCACCAUGGUGUCACUAAACUGUGCAUAUUAACACUUUGAAAUAGUUUAAGGCCCUAUAAGGGAUCUGUUCUUGUUGCACUUUGUAUAAAUCUCUGAACUUACUGAUGUUCUCAUCUUCUGUUUACUAAUGUUUGCACUUCCUUUUAUUUGUGGGAAGAUUUCAGUUCUACACGGCAUAAUGUAGCACUGUUUCUUUGUAAUAUUUGGCUUGUGUUUUUAAAUGGCCGUCACUAUGGCACAUUUCACUAAAUCCUGAGCCUUUUGUUCCUGUGAUGAGCUGAAUGAGUGAAACAUUUUAAUAAAACCCACUGAAUCAAA